rnacentral:misc_RNA from 1 species
GAUGAAGAACGUAGCGAAAUGCGAUACUUUGUGUGAAUUGCAGAAUCCCGUGAACCAUCGAGUCUUUGAACGCAAGUUGCGCCCGAAGCCAUCAGGUUGAGGGCACGUCUGCCUGGGCGUCACAUAUCGUUGCCCAAUGCCUAUUGCAGUGCAAUAGGAAUUUCUAGGGCGAAUGAUGGCUUCCCGUGAGCGUUGUUGCCUCGCGGUUGGUUGAAAAUCGAGUCCUUGGUAGGGUGUGCCAUGGUAGAUGGUGGUCGAGUUAGAACGAUACCGAUCAUGUGCAUGCUCCCCAAAAUAUGGCCUCUAUGACCCACACGCGUCUUUUGACGCUCAUGACGAGACCUCAGGUCAGGCGGGGCUACCCGCUGAAUUUAAGCAUAUCAAUAAGCGGAGGA